GACGAACGCUGGCGGCGUGCUUAACACAUGCAAGUGGAGCGACGAACCGGGGCUUGCCCCGGGGCAGAGCCGCGAACGGGUGAGUAACACGUGGGUAACCCACCUCGAUGACCGGGACAACCCGAGGAAACUCGGGCUAAUACCGGAUGUGAUCCUCUUUCGUAAGGAAGAUGAUGAAAGAUAGCUUUGGCCUUCGCAUCGAGACGGGCCCGCGGCCCAUUAGCUUGUUGGUGGGGUAAAGGCCACCAAGGCUUCGAUGGGUAGCUGGUCUGAGAGGACGAUCAGCCACACUGGGACUGAGACACGGCCCAGACUCCUACGGGAGGCAGCAGUGGGGAAUCUUGCGCAAUGCGCG
rnacentral:rRNA from 1 species